rfam:Volvox carteri f. nagariensis unplaced genomic scaffold VOLCAscaffold_59, whole genome shotgun sequence.
CCGAUCUUAGCUCAGCUGGAAGAGCGAAGGACUGUAAUCGAAAGAUGCGAUGCUGAUAUCCUUAGGUCGCCUGUUCGAUCCAGGCAGAUCGGA